UGGGGAAUUUUGGACAAUGGGCGCAAGCCUGAUCCAGCGAUGCCGCGUGCAGGAUGAAGGCCUUCGGGUUGUAAACUGCUUUUGUACGGAACGAAAAAGGUCUCUCUAAUACAGGGGGUGAAUGACGGUACCGUAAGAAUAAGCACCGGCUAACUACGUGCCAGAAGCCGCGGUAAUACGUAGGGUGCAAGCGUUAAUCGGAAUUACUGGGCGUAAAGCGUGCGCAGGCGGUUUUGUAAGACAGAGGUGAAAUCCCCGGGCUCAACCUGGGAACUGCCUUUGGGACUGCGAAGCUGGAGUGCGGCAGAGGGAGAUGGAAUGCCACGUGUAGCAGUGAAAUGCGUAGAUAUGCGGAGGAACACCGAUGGCGAAGGCAAUCCCCUGGGCCUGCACUGACGCUCAUGCACGAA
rnacentral:rRNA from 1 species